UACGUAGGGUGCGGAGCGAUUGAAUCGAAUCUGGGCGUAAAGUGUGCGCAGGCGGCCAUGCAAGUCGAGUGUGAAAGCCCCGGGCUUAACUUGGGAAUUGCGCUCGAAACUACGUGGCUGGAGUGUGGCAGAGGAAGGUGGAAUUCCACGUGUAGCGGUGAAAUGCGUAGAGAUGUGGAGGAACACCAAUGGCGAAGGCAGCCUUCUGGGCCAACACUGACGCUCAUGCACGAAAGCGUGGGGAUCAAACAGG
rnacentral:rRNA from 1 species